GUUAAGGUGGCAGAGCCCGGCCAUUGCAAGAGACCUAAGCCCUUUAAAUAGAGGUUCAAAUCCUCUCCUUAACU
rnacentral:tRNA from 1 species